rnacentral:rRNA from 1 species
CAGCCCCUCGAGUGGUGGGGAUGAUUAUUUGGCCUAAAGCGUCCGUAGCCGGCCGAGUAAGUCCCCCGUUAAAUCCAGCGUCUCAAGCGUUGGACUGCGGGAGAUACUACUUGGCUAGAGAGUGGGAGAGGUCAGCGGUAUUCUGGGGGUAGGGGCGAAAUCCUUUGAUCCCCGGAGGACCACCAGUGGCGAAGGCUGCUGACUAGAACACGUCUGACGGUCAGGGACGAAGGCCAGGGGAGCGAACCGGAUUAGAUACCCGAGUAGUCC